CAACUGAAGAGUUUGAUCCUGGCUCAGAUUGAACGCUGGCGGCAUGGCUAAAACAUGCAAGUCGAACGAUCCCUUCGGGGAGAGUGGCGAAAGGGCGAGGAAUACGAUCGAACGUACCCCGAGGUGGGGGAUAGCGUCGGGAAACCGGCGGUAAUACCCCAUGUCCUCUACGGAGAAAAGGUUUACCGCCUUGGGAGCGGCGAUCGUCCUAUCAGGUAGUUGGUGGGGUAAAGGCCUACCAAGCCGAAGACGGGUAGCGGGUGUGAGAGCACGACCCGCCGCAUCGGGACUGAGACACUGCCCGGACUCCUACGGGAGGCUGCAGUAACGAAUCUUCCGCAAUGCGCGAAAGCGUGACGGAGCAAUGCCGCGUGCAGGAUGAAGCGUCUACGACGUGUAAACUGCUGUCAGGGACUAGGAACAAUGACCAGUCCCAGAGGAAGGGCCGGCUAAUCUCGUGCCAGCAGCCGCGGUAAUACGAGAGGCCCGAGCGUUAAUCGGAAUCACUGGGCUUAAAGCGUACGCAGGCGGAUCGGAAGGUGUCUUGUGAAAUCCCCCGGCUUAACCGGGGAACUGCAGGGCAAACCAUCGAUCUUGAGGCAGGUAGGGGUCAGUGGAACGAUGUGUGGAGCGGUGAAAUGCGUAGAUAUACAUCGGAACGCCAAUGGCGAAGGCAGCUGACUGGGCCUGUACUGACGCUCAUGUACGAAAGCGUGGGGAGCAAACAGGAUUAGAUACCCUGGUAGUCCACGCCGUAAACGAUGCACACUAGGUCGGGGGAGCUCUCACGCUUUCCCGGCCGAAGGUAAACUGAUUAGUGUGCCGCCUGGGGAGUACGGUCGCAAGGCUAAAACUCAAAGGAAUUGACGGGGGCUCACACAAGCGGUGGAGCAUGUUGCUUAAUUCGAGGCAACGCGAAGA
rnacentral:rRNA from 1 species